rnacentral:rRNA from 1 species
AAAAAAGGUAAGCUACUAAGAGCGAAUGGUGGAUGCCUUGACUGGUAAAGGCGAUGAAGGACGUACUAGACUGCGAUAAGCUACGGGGAGCUGUCAAGAAGCUUUGAUCCGUAGAUUUCCGAAUGGGGCAACCCAAUGUAUAGAGAUAUACAUUACCUAUAUAGGAGCGAACGAGGGGAAUUGAAACAUCUUAGUACCCUCAGGAAAAGAAAUCAAUAGAGAUUGCGUCAGUAGCGGCGAGCGAAAGCGCAAGAGGGCAAACCCAGUGCUUGCACUGGGGGUUGUAGGACUGCAAUGUGCAAGAGGUGAGUUUAGCAGAACAUUCUGGAAAGUAUAGCCAUAGAGGGUGAUAGUCCCGUAUGCGAAAAACAAACCUUAGCUAGCAGUAUCCUGAGUAGGGCGGGACACGAGAAAUCCUGUCUGAAGCUGGGUCGACCACGAUCCAACCCUAAAUACUAAUACCAGAUCGAUAGUGCACAAGUACCGUGAGGGAAAGGUGAAAAGAACUGAGGUGAUCAGAGUGAAAUAGAACCUGAAACCAUUUGCUUACAAUCAUUCAGAGCCCUAUGUAGCAAUACAGGGUGAUGGACUGCCUUUUGCAUAAUGAGCCUGCGAGUUGUGGUGUCUGGCAAGGUUAAGCAAACGCGAAGCCGUAGCGAAAGCGAGUCUGAAUAGGGCGCUUAGUCAGAUGCUGCAGACCCGAAACGAAGUGAUCUAUCCAUGAGCAAGUUGAAGCUAGUGUAAGAACUAGUGGAGGACUGAACCCAUAGGCGUUGAAAAGCCCCGGGAUGACUUGUGGAUAGGGGUGAAAGGCCAAUCAAACUUCGUGAUAGCUGGUUCUCUCCGAAAUAUAUUUAGGUAUAGCGUUGUGUCGUAAUAUAAGGGGGUAGAGCACUGAAUGGGCUAGGGCAUACACCAAUGUACCAAACCCUAUCAAACUCCGAAUACCUUAUAUGUAAUCACAGCAGUCAGGCGGCGAGUGAUAAAAUCCGUCGUCAAGAGGGAAACAACCCAGACUACCAGCUAAGGUCCCUAAAUCUUACUUAAGUGGAAAACGAUGUGAAGUUACUUAAACAACCAGGAGGUUGGCUUAGAAGCAGCCAUCCUUUAAAGAAAGCGUAAUAGCUCACUGGUCUAGUGAUUUUGCGCGGAAAAUAUAACGGGGCUAAAGUAAGUACCGAAGCUGUAGACUUGAUUUUAUCAAGUGGUAGGAGAGCGUUCUAUUUGCGUCGAAGGUAUACCGGUAAGGAGUGCUGGAGCGAAUAGAAGUGAGCAUGCAGGCAUGAGUAGCGAUAAUUAAUGUGAGAAUCAUUAACGCCGUAAACCCAAGGUUUCCUACGCGAUGCUCGUCAUCGUAGGGUUAGUCGGGUCCUAAGUCGAGUCCGAAAGGGGUAGACGAUGGCAAAUUGGUUAAUAUUCCAAUACCAACAUUAGUGUGCGAUGGAAGGACGCUUAGGGCUAAGGGGGCUAGCGGAUGGAAGUGCUAGUCUAAGGUCGUAGGAGGUUAUACAGGCAAAUCCGUAUAACAAUACUCCGAGAACUGAAAGGCUUUUUGAAGUCUUCGGAUGGAUAGAAGAACCCCUGAUGCCGUCGAGCCAAGAAAAGUUUCUAAGUUUAGCUAAUGUUGCCCGUACCGUAAACCGACACAGGUGGGUGGGAUGAGUAUUCUAAGGCGCGUGGAAGAACUCUCUUUAAGGAACUCUGCAAAAUAGCACCGUAUCUUCGGUAUAAGGUGUGGUUAGCCUUGUAUUAGGAUUUACUCCGAAAGCAAGGAAACUUACAACAAAGAGUCCCUCCCGACUGUUUACCAAAAACACAGCACUCUGCUAACUCGUAAGAGGAUGUAUAGGGUGUGACGCCUGCCCGGUGCUCGAAGGUUAAUUGAUGGGGUUAGCAUUAGCGAAGCUCUUGAUCGAAGCCCGAGUAAACGGCGGCCGUAACUAUAACGGUCCUAAGGUAGCGAAAUUCCUUGUCGGUUAAAUACCGACCUGCAUGAAUGGCGUAACGAGAUGGGAGCUGUCUCAAAGAGGGAUCCAGUGAAAUUGUAGUGGAGGUGAAAAUUCCUCCUACCCGCGGCAAGACGGAAAGACCCCGUGGACCUUUACUACAGCUUGACACUGCUAUUUGGAUAAGAAUGUGCAGGAUAGGUGGGAGGCUUUGAGUAUAUGACGCCAGUUGUAUAUGAGCCAUUGUUGAGAUACCACUCUUUCUUAUUUGGGUAGCUAACCAGCUUGAGUUAUCCUCAAGUGGGACAAUGUCUGGUGGGUAGUUUGACUGGGGCGGUCGCCUCCCAAAUAAUAACGGAGGCUUACAAAGGUUGGCUCAGAACGGUUGGAAAUCGUUCGUAGAGUAUAAAGGUAUAAGCCAGCUUAACUGCAAGACAUACAAGUCAAGCAGAGACGAAAGUCGGUCUUAGUGAUCCGGUGGUUCUGUGUGGAAGGGCCAUCGCUCAAAGGAUAAAAGGUACCCCGGGGAUAACAGGCUGAUCUCCCCCAAGAGCUCACAUCGACGGGGAGGUUUGGCACCUCGAUGUCGGCUCAUCGCAUCCUGGGGCUGGAGCAGGUCCCAAGGGUAUGGCUGUUCGCCAUUUAAAGCGGUACGCGAGCUGGGUUCAGAACGUCGUGAGACAGUUCGGUCCCUAUCUGCCGUGGGCGUAAGAAGAUUGAAGAGAUUUGACCCUAGUACGAGAGGACCGGGUUGAACAAACCACUGGUGUAGCUGUUGUUCUGCCAAGAGCAUCGCAGCGUAGCUAAGUUUGGAAAGGAUAAACGCUGAAAGCAUCUAAGCGUGAAGCCAACUCUAAGAUGAAUCUUCUCUAAGCUCUCUAGAAGACUACUAGUUUGAUAGGCUGGGUGUGUAAUGGAUGAAAGUCCUUUAGCUGACCAGUACUAAUAGAGCGUUUGGCUUAUCUUUAAUAAAGCAU